rnacentral:tRNA from 1 species
GGGGUUGUAGCUCAGAGAUAGAGCACUUGCCUUGCAGGCGUGAGGCCCUGGGUUCGUUCCCCAGCACCA